AAGGUUUUAAGUUAAAUAAACUAAUAGCCUUCAAAGCUAUUUAUAUAAGUAUAAAUCUUUUAAGCCUUA
rnacentral:tRNA from 1 species